UACGUAGGGCGCAAGCGUUGUCCGGAAUUAUUGGGCGUAAAGAGCUCGUAGGCGGUCUGUCACGUCGGAAGUGAAAACCCGGGGCUUAACCCCGGGCUUGCUUUCGAUACGGGCAGACUAGAGUGUGGUAGGGGAGAAUGGAAUUCCUGGUGUAGCGGUGAAAUGCGCAGAUAUCAGGAAGAACACCCGUGGCUAAGGCGGUUCUCUAGUACGGUACUGACGCUGAGACGCGAAAGCGUGGGGAGCGAACAGG
rnacentral:rRNA from 1 species